CAUCCGUGUGAACACUGGCCUGGCCCCAUCUGGAAGACUAGUGAUUUUGUUGUUCUCUAACGUAAAGAUUGACAACAAAUCCCAGUCUGCCUUAUGGUGCUUGGCCAUGUCAGCAGGAAUGGAA
rnacentral:pre_miRNA from 15 species